UCCCUGGGUGCCACAUGCCGACGCUAGUUCCAGGAGGUGCUCAGAGCCUGUUACUCAUAUGUCAGAUUCCCACUGUUGUGAUGUUAUUUCAUGCACCAACUGCAUUUUCAUAGAAAAGCAGACUCUGAAGCUGAUGAGUCCUCCUCCCCACUUGAAGCUGGAGACAGGUUGCCCAUCUGGAAAACGGGUCCUGAGUAUGGGGACCAGUGCUGUGCCCCUGGAGGGGCUGAUUGCAGGAUCUCAAGGUCAGCCAGACCCCCUGAAGCCUGAUGCUGGAAGCAGUUGCCCCCUCGGUGCGGUGAAGGCACUCUGCUUGGAGAUGCGGUAGCCCUGAGGUCCAGGGUGGCGGUCUGAUGCCUGUCAUGACUUGGGUAGUGAUGGCCCCAGCACUGGACUGUGAGGAGAUGGCCAAGCACUCACCUUCUUCACAAAGUACCUGGUGCUGACUUGUCUGGUGGACAGUGUGCGCCGGCCUUGUGGGGGUUUUGUACAAUAUUAUUGUCUGUGAAAUGAGGCUCCCCCCAUACUAACAGGGUGUGUAUAACCUAGAGAAGUCGAGGGCAGGUGGAGCCCUUCGUCAUCCUGGGAGGGACUGGCUUGAAUUUGAGAAAUAAAAUGAAGCUGGAAAUGGCA